rnacentral:rRNA from 1 species
UACGUAGGUGGCGAGCGUUAUCCGGAUUUAUUGGGUUUAAAGGGUGCGUAGGCGGGCAUUUAAGCCGGCGGUCAAAUGUCCGGGCUCAACCCGGGCCGGCCGUUGAAACUGGGGAUCUUGAGUGCUGGAGAGGCAAUCGGAAUUCCGUGUGUAGCGGUGAAAUGCGUAGAUAUACGGAGGAACACCAGUGGCGAAGGCGGAUUGCUGGACAGUAACUGACGCUGAGGCGCGAAAGCGUGGGGAGCAAACAGG